ACGGAAGGCAGCAGUGAGGAAUAUUGGUCAAUGGGCGCAAGCCUGAACCAGCCAUGCCGCGUGCAGGAUGACGGUCCUAUGGAUUGUAAACUGCUUUUGUACGGGAAGAAACCCUCCUACGUGUAGGAGCUUGACGGUACCGUAAGAAUAAGGAUCGGCUAACUCCGUGCCAGCAGCCGCGGUAAUACGGAGGAUCCAAGCGUUAUCCGGAAUCAUUGGGUUUAAAGGGUCUGUAGGCGGUCUUGUAAGUCAGUGGUGAAAGCCCAUCGCUCAACGGUGGAACGGCCAUUGAUACUGCUGGACUUGAAUUAUUGGGAAGCAACUAGAAUAUGUAGUGUAGCGGUGAAAUGCUUAGAGAUUACAUGGAAUACCAAUUGCGAAGGCAGGUUGCUACCAAUGGAUUGACGCUGAUGGACGAAAGCGUGGGUAGCGAACAGGAUUAGAUACCCUGGUA
rnacentral:rRNA from 1 species